rnacentral:ncRNA from 1 species
GGGUGUUCGCUGCGUGGUGCAGCGGCAGGUUAGCGAUGGUCGGGCCGCCACG